AGAGCGAACGCUGGCGGCAGGCCUAACACAUGCAAGUCGAACGGACUCUUCGGAGUUAGUGGCGGACGGGUGAGUAACACGUGGGAACGUGCCUUUAGGUUCGGAAUAGCUCCUGGAAACGGGUGGUAAUACCGAAUGUGCCCUUCGGGGGAAAGAUUUAUCGCCUUUAGAGCGGCCCGCGUCUGAUUAGCUUGUUGGUGAGGUAAUGGCUCACCAAGGCUACGAUCAGUAGCUGGUCUGAGAGGAUGACCAGCCACAUUGGGACUGAGACACGGCCCAAACUCCUACGGGAGGCAGCAGUGGGGAAUCUUGCGCAAUGGGCGAAAGCCUGACGCAGCCAUGCCGCGUGUAUGAUGAAGGUCUUAGGAUUGUAAAAUUACUUUCACCGGUGAAAGAUAAUGACUGUAGCGGAGAAAGAACGCCCCGGACUAACCUUCGUAGCCAGCACGCCGC
rnacentral:rRNA from 1 species